GAUAGAACGCUGGCGGCGUCGCCGUAAGUACAUGCAAGUCGAACGCGAGCAGCAAGUGCGUCGAAGGUGGCGAACGGGUGAGUAAUACAUAAGUAACCUGCCCUAGACAGGGGGAUAACUGCUGGAAACGGCAGCUAAGACCGCAUAGGUAUGGACACUGCAUGGUGACCAUAUUAAAAGUGCCAAGGCACUGGUAGAGGAUGGACUUAUGGCGCAUUAGCUGGUUGGCGGGGUAACGGCCCACCAAGGCGACGAUGCGUAGCCGACCUGAGAGGGUAACCGGCCACACUGGGACUGAGACACGGCCCAG
rnacentral:rRNA from 1 species